UGGGUGCUCACACAACCUGCCAGGAGCAGUGUAGCUGCUAAUUAGCACCAUGUUGGCUGUCGGGGUAAGGACAUCAAAUAUGUGAACGGAAUGCAGAGAUAAACUACCCACGCUGGAAAUCUAUCCCAGAGAUUCAUAACCCAGAGGCAGGGAUUUGUGCCCCUUCCUUUGCGAUGAAGACUCCGAGCCUGUCUUUUGGCGAGGAUGCUGCAGAGGGUGCUGGAGAUCGUCGAUUCCCUCCCCAUCCAGCGGCCGACAGCUCCACCAGCAACUCCAGUAGUACGUACUGAAGACUUGUUUACAUCUGAAAAGAUUUAUUUAUGUUGUAAAACUAUCUGCUGGUGAAUAUAUGAAAAGAAAUAUGUGAGGGAAACGAUAAUAAUUUAAUACUUAUUCAAUUUACUUUCAAUUCAUUUAGCAACCUUGGCUUUCUCAUAAUUAAAGGGAGUUGGGUGACUUGCUAA